CCUACGGGUGGCAGCAGUGAGGAAUAUUGGUCAAUGGACGGAAGCCUGAACCAGCCAAGCCGCGUGAAGGAUGACGGCCCUAUGGGUUGUAAACUGCUUUUGUAGGGGAGCAAUAGCCGUGACGCGUUGCGCUUUGAAUGUACCGUACGAAUAAGGAUCGGCUAACUCCGUGCCAGCAGCCGCGGUAAUACGGAGGAUGCGAGCGUUAUCCGGAUUUAUUGGGUUUAAAGGGUUCGUAGGCGGUAGGUUAAGUUAGGGGUUAAAUUGAGGGGCUUAACCCCGUGCCUGCCUUUGAUACUGGUUGACUUGAGUGUGGGAGAAGCAAGCGGAAUGAGUGGUGUAGCGGUGAAAUGCGUAGAUAUCACGCAGAACACCGAUUGCGAAGGCAGCUUGCU
rnacentral:rRNA from 1 species